CCUGAACUGGGCAGGCCCCAAGGAAGGAAGGAAGGAGGAAGCAGGCAGAGCUCUCCAAAGCAGCAGCAGCAGCAGCCCCCCUGCCCAGACCAUCCAGAACAGCUAUUGCUAGGUCCGCACCUCCACCCCUGUUUGCACCACCACCCGCACCUCCGCCUGUACAUGGGAAGUUCGGGUGCAGGAAGCGAGGGGGGAAGAAGCGAAGGUGGAAGAAGCACAACUGAGCGGGGAGGAAGUGGAACUGGAGAAGACCAACCUUUGUUAUUUUUUAAAAUAAUGCUAUAUUAUUAUUAUUGCUAUUGCUACUACUAUCUAUAUAUAUAAUUCUCCUGGGUGUGCCUUUCGAAUGUGCGUUCCGUCAGCCCAGCUGAUUUGCUGGGCUGUGGGGGCGCCUGAUUGGUCCUGGCACACCCAGGAGAAUUGGCUGGCUGGGCGGCUGCGGAGGCAAGGCAGCAGGCCAGGCUGUGGCAGUGGCGGCGGGCCAGGCCGCGGCGGCGGGCCCCAGCCCGGCCACAGAUGUGAGGCGGCGGGGGCAGCCCGGCCCAGCCCGACAGCAUGGUGGUGGUGGUGGUGCAGCAGCGGCGGGGAGGGGGGCGGCCCGGCCCGGCAGCACGGUGGUGGCAGCAGUGGGUCCGGCCCGGCCGCGGGUUGUAGACGACUGGUCCGGCCGCGGCACUUGGCCCGGCGGCGGCAGCAGCACUCGGCCUGGUUGCCUGGGCUUGGCCCGGCCGCCUGGGCUUGGCACUUUGGCUUGGCACUCCGGCCAGGCCGCCUGGGCUUGGCCUGGCUGGAGACUGGGGCAGGUGGGGGUAGGGGAGACGUAGCCGGCCCCAAAGAGGGACAGCCAGAAAUGGGGGGGGGCUGAGAAGCGCACAAGAAGCGGGGGAGCGGAGAUAGCUGGGCAUGCCGACAGGAGGGGGGAACCACGGCUGGGUUCAACUAGAGACGCAGAUGUUCUGCGCCCUGGCCCACUAGUUAUUAUUAUUGCUAUUGCUACUACUAUUAUUAUUUUUGCUAUUGCUGCUAUUAAUUAUUAUUAUUAUUAUUAUUAUUAUUAUUAUUAUUGCUACUACUACUACUAUUAUAAUAAUUAAAAAAUACAUAAUUCUGAAAGACACACCUCUUUUUCUCCUCCAUGGUCUCUGCAGCAAGAGUUCUGCUUAUGUACAGAACAACAUUUGGAAGCUUCGGAGGUUUUGUAGAGCAUUCUGGUUCCUGCUCUGAAAUGGGGAGACCUGUGCACCGUGCGUGCCUCUAGGGCAGGAAGAAUACUCCUGUCCCUCAGUUACUUGACAAUCAUAACUCUAGCAGGAGCAGGGGCAGAUCCGCCUGAGGACUUGCUCACCCACCUUUCGCUGCCUCUGCUGCAGGCCCCCCACUGACCCCACCACCCACUGCCUCUGCUGCAGGCCCCCGCCCGCCACUGGCCUUUGUGACCUCUGCUCACUGCCACUGUUAAGGCUUGCUGGCUUCUCUUUGCCAGCGGCAACACAGUAUAAUAAUGUCACUGCCCAGCACCUGCCCAGCACCUGAGAUGGGCUCAUACCAGUGUGAUAUCAUGUUACAGCCAGCGAAGGAAAGUAAAGCGGCUGCGACUGUAGUGGUGAGCAGAGGUUGUCAGGAGAGCGUUAGGAGAGUUGAUGCCUGAGCUCAGGAAGCAAAGUCAGGGAAAGCGUGUUCUGCUCUUUGAGAGAAGAGAGUUGGGCUGGAGUUAAAUUAUUGUUAGGGAGUGGAUCAGGUGUAGCCUAGCUUGGUAGGAGUGGAAUGGUUAGAUCUCUCUCUGGUGAAAUAGAAACUUAAGCGUUAACAUAAGAACAGAAAACCAGUAAACUCUCUUACACAGUGUGUGAGGCACAGCAGGUAAAUUUUUGACUAGCACUUUAGGGAAAAGUGUAGAGGAAAAGGGAAUUUUGACUGUUCAGAAUGAGAAUAAAGGAAGAGUUUGACCAUAUUUCAGAAAGGAACAAAAAAGUCAUCAGCAUAGCCUGAGUAAAAUCAAUCCUCCAGUUAAAGUGUUAAUGCCAUUAUCUGAAACAUCAAGUAAAACAAUCCAGUAGCAUUCAAGUGUACCAUGUAUAAGAAAUCCUUAAGAAAUAUUCUAACUUGUAGUAGAGCUACUGUCCGCGUCUAUUACCAGUUUCAAAGUUAUAAUCUGUAACCAAGUUAAGCACAAACAUUCUGAAACCUUGAACCACACUUUUAAAUAAAAACUUGUAAUUUUUACAAAAA